rnacentral:rRNA from 1 species
CAGCCGCCACGGGAAUACAGAGGGUGCAAGCGUUAAUCGGAAUUACUGGGCGUAAAGCGCGCGUAGGUGGUUUGUUAAGUUGGAUGUGAAAUCCCCGGGCUCAACCUGGGAACUGCAUCCAAAACUGGCAAGCUAGAGUAUGGUAGAGGGUGGUGGAAUUUCCUGUGUAGCGGUGAAAUGCGUAGAUAUAGGAAGGAACACCAGUGGCGAAGGCGACCACCUGGACUGAUACUGACACUGAGGUGCGAAAGCGUGGGGAGCAAACAGGAUUAGAUACCCGGGUAGUCCCUGUCUCUUAUAC